rnacentral:rRNA from 1 species
UACGUAGGGUGCAAGCGUUUGUCCGGAAUUAUUGGGCGUAAAGAGCUCGUAGGCGGUUUGUCGCGUCGGCUGUGAAAGCCCGGAGCUCAACUCCGGGUCUGCAGUCGAUACGGGGCAGACUUGAGUGUUGCAGGGGAGACUGGAAUUCCUGGUGUAGCGGUGAAAUGCGCAGAUAUCAGGAGGAACACCGGUGGCGAAGGCGGG